GGAAUAUAAGAAACCGUCUCUUAACUUUUAACUAAAAAAACUAAGAAUCGGCUUUUAAACAAGAUAUUUAAGAGCCGGUUCUUAGUUUUUUUAGUUAGAAGUUAAGAGACGGUUUUUUAUAUUAU
rfam:Brassica napus, WGS project CCCW01000000 data, contig: 26871